GUAACGCGUGGGAACCUACCUAGUAGUUCGGAAUAGCCUCGGGAAACUGGGAUUAAUACCGGAUACGCCCUCAGGGGGGAAAGAUUUAUCGCUAUUAGAUGGGCCCGCGUUAGAUUAGCUAGUUGGUGGGGUAAUGGCCUACCAAGGCGACGAUCCAUAGCUGGUCUGAGAGGAUGAUCAGCCACACUGGGACUGAGACACGGCCCAGACUCCUACGGGAGGCAGCAGUGGGGAAUAUUGGACAAUGGGCGAAAGCCUGAUCCAGCAAUGCCGCGUGAGUGAUGAAGGCCUUAGGGUUGUAAAGCUCUUUUACCAGGGAUGAUAAUGACAGUACCUGGAGAAUAAGCUCCGGCUAACUCCGUGCCAGCAGCCGCGGUAAUACGGAGGGUG
rnacentral:rRNA from 1 species